GUUCUCGGGGCUUGGGCCCCCUCCUCCCAGCUCCCUGUGCACACGUGUGUGCGGAUGCCUCCCUGCCCUGGUCUGGGGCAAUGGUGUCUGUUCAUCCUCUCCAGUUCUGGGUGAGGACAGUCAGCUACUUGUCUGAGAGCCAAGGGCAGCCAGCAAGGGUUCAGACGCCUUUUGCUUCCUGAGAAGGGAGGUGGCCUUGCCCUGUGGGAAGCAUCAGUUGGAGGGAGAUGAAUUUAGCUGCCUUCCCUGGUUGGUGAUGGGGGAGGGUCCUGUCAGCCAGAGGAUGUAGGCUUAGCUCCAAAAGGGCUUUUGUCUGAGGCUGGGCCUCAGGCCAGAGUGACAUUCUUCGGUGCAGGCUGCCAGGCCACCACUGAGUGGGCACCUGCAGGGCAGCUAGGGAAGGAGUGAGGGGCCUGUCUUUCUUCCACAGAGGAGAGCAUUCGGGGAUGGAAUCUGCCAUUUGGGGGCCCCUGGGGUGCGGAGGCCAUGCCUGUGGUUGCUCCUGGCUCCAAAAAACAUGCCAAGGCCCAGGCUACUCAGGGAUGUGGGCAAUUAACAUUUUAGCUUCUGUCAUGUCUGAUAAAGAUCCCCACAAGAUGAAAGGAAUCCACUCUGCCUUCAAUGAGUGCGGCAGAAGAAACCUAGGGUCAUAGAAAGACCUGGGAGCCUUGGCCACAGCUCCCCUCGCAGCAGGGAUGCUGCCCUUCACUGAGGAUGUGUUUUGCCCCACCCCGAAUCCUCUGCACAGGUGGGUGUACCAUCUCCUAUGCUGUGGGUAGUGACUGCUGAUUCCCACAGCUAUCUCUUCUGUGGAACCAUCUCUCUAGGGAGGUUGCAUGAAUUCCUUUCAUCCUGAGGUGUCUCCAUGGCAGCCAGUAGGCACAGAAGACCCGGAAGGAGGUAGCAGGCCUAGGGGAUAGUUCAUGGUCCAAGGACCCUGUAGGACCAGGCUGAGGAGACCUGAGUUCACACCCCAGUGAUCGAGUCUGGUGACUCACAAUGCUUGUAAUUCCAGCUCCCAGCGAUCCGGCACCCAGUGAACAACUAUUGAGGAUUCUCAAUGCUCCAGAUGUGUUGGCUGUGCGUGAGGACGGCAGUAUGGCAAAUCAGCGCAGCCUUUCCAUCGCUGAGCUUACAGUCUGACUCAGCGGCGCUCAGACUUGCUGUUCCCAGAGGACAUUGCCAUCUUCAAAUGCGCUGGACCACAUUCUUACAUCUGGGAUGCCUGGAGCCUGCAGCUUGGACGUGCUUGGGGGUGGAAAGAGACGACUAUAUUAAAUCAUCACAAAAAAUUCA